GACGAACGCUGGCGGCGUGCUUAACACAUGCAAGUCGAGCGAUGAAAUUCCUUCGGGAAUGGAUUAGCGGCGGACGGGUGAGUAACACGUGGGUAACCUGCCUCAUAGAGGGGAAUAGCCCUCCGAAAGGAAGAUUAAUACCGCAUAAGAUUGUAGUUUCGCAUGAAACAGCAAUUAAAGGAGUAAUCCGCGAGGAGAUGGACCCGCGUCGCAUUAGCUAGUUGGUGAGGUAACGGCUCACCAAGGCGACGAUGCGUAGCCGACCUGAGAGGGUGAUCGGCCACAUUGGGACUGAGACACGGCCCAGACUCCUACGGGGGGCAGCAGUGGGGAAUAUUGCACAAUGGGGGAAACCCUGAUGCAGCAACGCCGCGUGAGUGAUGACGGUCUUCGGAUUGUAAAACUCUGUCUUCAGGGACGAUAAUGACGGUACCUGAGGAGGAAGCCACGGCUAACUACGUGCCAGCCGCCGCAGUAA
rnacentral:rRNA from 1 species